rnacentral:rRNA from 1 species
GUCUAUGACCAUACCACCCCGAACACCCCUGAUCUCGUCUGAUCUCAAAAGCUAAGCAGGGUCGGGCCUGGUUAGUACUUGGAUGGGAGACAAAUUGGCAAGUUCUCCAUUUGUAGACC